UACGUAGGGAGCGAGCGUUGUCCGGAAUUACUGGGCGUAAAGGGCGCGUAGGCGGGAACUUAAGUUAGAUGUGAAAACUCCGGGCUUAACCUGGAGACUGCAUUUAAAACUGGGUUUCUUGAGGGCAGGAGAGGAAAGUGGAAUUCCAUGUGUAGCGGUGAAAUGCGUAGAUAUAUGGAGGAACACCGGUGGCGAAAGCGGCUCUCUGGCCUGUAACUGACACUGAGGCUCGAAAGCGUGGGGAGCAAACAGG
rnacentral:rRNA from 1 species